CGCUGGCGGCGUGCCUAACACAUGCAAGUCGAACGAUUCUUGAUUUAUAGCAAUAUUUAUUAAAGAGGAGUGGCGAACGGGUGAGUAACACGUAGAUAAUCUGCCUUCAGACGGGGACAACUCAGGGAAACUUGUGCUAAUACCCGAUGAGACCACAAGAAGGAUUUUUGUGGCCAAAGGCGGGCAGCAAUGCUCGUGCUGAAAGAUGAGUCUGCGUCCUAUCAGCUAGUUGGUGGGGUAAAUGCCUACCAAGGCUAAGACGGGUAGCCGGCCUGAGAGGGUGAACGGCCACACUGGGACUGAGACACGGCCCAGACUCCUACGGGAGGCAGCAGUGAGGAAUUUUCCGCAAUGGGCGCAAGCCUGACGGAGCGACGCCGCGUGAGGGAUGAACAGCUUUCGGGUUGUAAACCUCUUUUAUUAAGGAAAAAGAUCUAUAUGCUAAUAUCAUGUAGAUUUGAUGGUACUUAUUGAAUAAGCCCCGGCUAACUACGUGCCAGCCGCAGC
rnacentral:rRNA from 1 species